GCACAUAUCGUUGGAGAUAUCUAAUUUAUUUCUACAGAACAAUUGGAUUCUAUUUGUUACAAAGUAAAUUUUAUUUUUAAAAGAUUCCAUAAGUUUUAUUUGAGAGAUAUAAUUUGAGAAAUUAUAAAAGAAAAUAUUUAAAAGAAAUGUAAAGUAGAAGGGAUUAACUAUUAUAGGUUGUAAUAGUUAAAGGACUGCAGGUCUAGUCCUAGAAUAUGAAAUUUAAAAACACUGAAAUAGAAUAGACAGGUCAAAAGUAGAUAUUUUGGUCCAUAAAUAAUUAAUAGCUGAUAACAGAGGCAAGGCAAACUGGCGGGAAACUUGAAUUAUGUUGUAAGAACUGAUUUAAAACAUGGUUAAAAAAAUGUUCACUUCACCAUACACCAGAAAAAAUUCUAGGUACAUAUUUAAAAUUAAAUUGUGUUUUAAAUGCAAGGAACUAGAAGAUGAAACUUUAUGAGAAGCAUUGACACUUUGUACAUAAGGUUAUAAAUAUUAUGAAAAGAUUUUCGUGCAUGAAAACAUGUUAAUAUACAAACAUUUUAAGCUUCCUUGUAUAAAAUAAUCAAAAUACAAAUUUAAAAAUAUUCUGGAGAAAUACUGGGGAUAUAUUUUAUCUUUAUCCAUAUGAACAGAUUCUAGAAAUUGAUCGUAACUUACUUUCAGUAUCUAUGUACUGAAUCUUAAGAGAUGUUAAUGUGGAAAUUCAAGGAAACAACAGUAUAUGCAGUCAAUAAGACAAUUUUAAGAGCACACUCAAAGAACACGCCAGAUAUGUUACACACACAAAGAAACUAGAAACCAAGCAAAGGAAAAGAUGUUCAGUCUUACUAAUUUUUUUCCACCUAAGAAAUUUAAAUUAGUAUGUAAAUAAGUAGUAAUGAUAAAAAUCAGCAUGGCAAAAGUAUCAUGAAAAUGGCACUUAAACACUACUGGUGUCAUUACAUUUUGGAAAGUUAUUUGGUAAUAUUGUAUCAAAUUUGAUAAAAAUAGUUUUAACUAGUGACCAAAUAAUAACCUAUCUGGAGAUCUAUCCUAAGGAAAUAGUAAUCCAAAAUCUAGGAUAAAAUCUUCAGGGAUGAAGAUACUAAAACCAUAGUAUUUCUAAUGGCAUGAUAUUGGAAUUUAUCUAGAUAUCCAAUAAUGGCAAGGUGAAGUACAUUUGAUGCGAUAUGAUUCCAGAAGUUACAUGAUAGUUAAAAGACUAUGUAGGAAACAUUAAAAAGUGCUUAUGUUGUGAUUUUAAGUGAUUAAAGACCAGAUGUAACAUUGUGUACAUAGUGAUACACAGUAUAAGAUGCAUCAGAUUACUGGAAGGAAAUACAAUAACAUGCUAACAGUAAUAUAUGAAGGUGGUGGUAUUCAGGGCAUCUUUUCCAGUUUUCAAAAAUGUCUCUACUAGGGUUACAGGGUCUUCAUAUUUAAAAUAUGUAAAUAUAAAGGUAUUGCUGAUAUCCGCAAUCAACUAUAUAAAUCUGUAUAUAUGGUAUGGAUACAUCUGUGUGGGUAGCACUCUACAUAGAAUAUUUCUUGCAAAUGUAAGAAAUGUAUCUGAAUAUAUUACAUAAUUAUUUUUUCUGAAUAACCUUGAACAGACAAAUGUAAGAACAUUUGAAAUAUAGAGAAUGCCUGAUGAUAACCUGCUUGAACAUAUCCCUUAAAUCUUAGCAUGUCAAGUGAUCAUCAACAAGGCAUUUUCUAAGAGACUUUGAGAAAGAGGACUGCAGAAUAAAUAUCCCAGAAAGACAAUAAUGUAGCAGCUUAGAUAAAAUGCUACAGAAAUAAAGAAAACAUUCUACAAGUAAGCACUAUGAAUUGAUGGAAAUCUUUUGAGUAUUGGUGUUCUCCUCAGAGAGAAUAAACUGGUCUUUGUUGCUGAAAUGUUAACCCAUACAUAUUUAAGUUUAUGUCUUCAAAGAAGGAGAACUGGGAGGACAGAGCAACCACAGUAAAAGGCUUCCAAGCCUUCUGGUGAUGUAUUAUUAAUUUGCCGCAUUUGCCAGGCCAACUCCAUGUCUGUAAUUCAACAGCCCCCUUCAUUGUAUCAGUGAUGAUUCCACAGCAUCCACACACCAGCAGAGAAUGAAAAGCAUUACAAUCCAUGAAGAAUAUUUCUACACUAGAGAUAAAAAUAAAACAAGGAGUUAAAAUGUAAAAACUCAAUGGAAAAGCUACUUGAAAGAGGUGAUUAAUUUGGCUAUCAACAGUGAUCAUCCUUUCCUCCAAGUUAAUUUUAGUAACAGCCAUCCUAACAGAAUGAAGAAGAAAAGAAGAAUGUUUGCAAAUAACACUACAAAAAUUUGUCACUAGCCCAUCUGCAUUACAAGAAGUGCUAAAGGAACUUGUUCAGUAUGAAGAAAAUGAUACCCAAUGAAAGCUUGUAUGUUCAGGAUGGAAAGAAGAGAAUAAAAAAUGAAUCUAGGGAAAGAAAAGGGCAACCAGCAUGCCUGCUCCCUAUGUAUGAGGAUAUAGAGAAGAACUCAUGAAAACCGGAAAAACUGAUGCUUGGAGAUACAUCAGACAUCUGGACUGGAGCAUUCAAUGAACCUUGUUCCAAAGACACGACUGCAUGGGUCUUUCCUGUAUAGAGGUCCAGAACAUAUUAAAAUAGAGACAGAAAGGAAACAAGGAAAAUACGUUUAAAAUUUGAGAAAUUGUCAGCAUUAUCAAGAACAAUUUCAAGGUCUUUCUAUGUAGACAAACUAUCACUGCUACUCUGUUCACAUGGUGAUAACGAUGCCAUAAUUCCAGAGGUUUUACUUCUUCAUUCAAGAGAUCAGCCUAUGUAAGGAUGAAAGUCUUGAAACUAACUCUAGAUUUCUAAGAGAGGAAUUUGAUUAGCCAUAUUUAAGUCAGGGACUCCCCGUGGUCCAAGAAUCCACCAACAGGAGCAUGGAGUUAUGCUGUUCAAAUACGGUUGCCAUCUCCUGUACCUAUGACUCUGUGGAUGGGGACUGGGAAUGGCAGGAGUUCCUACAUAAGACAGGUUAAUUCUGAAUUCACUUUUUCUUUCAAUAAUUAUGUUGGGACUUUCUAUAUGUCCAGCACUGGGGAUAUGAUUCUGAAAAGGAUACUUCUUACCCUCACAAACAUUUCUAUCUAGUUAGGUGUAUUGGGACAGGGAGGUGGCUGGUGAGGAUUGGGUUUUAUGUAAAUUGUCUUUGUAAUAAAUGCAACAAGUGAUAUUAUGGAGGCAAAAAAAAAAGGUGUUAUGGUAGUAAAGGAGAAGACAUAUCUCACUCAGGCUGGGAGGUGAGUGAUGUCUUCUUGUGAAAAGUGACAUCUAUACUAAGACUACAGACAUGCAUAAGCGUUAGCCUGGUCAAAUAGAUGGAAGUGAAAUAUAAUAGAAAUGACUCUUAUGUUUAUGUAGACACAAAGAUAAUGUUGACGGAUCUAAAACAAAGUAAUAUUAGAAUAUUGAUGGGUAUCUCAGCUUGGGUUUCCCAAAUAUCAGAUCCCGAGAUAAGACAAAAUUAGUCCUCUGUGCUGGCAGUGUUCUUAACAGGUUCUUCCAACAAGGAUGUCCAACAGCCGAUUUGCAUAACAGAUUUGCAUUUUCCCAGUGUAGCCCAGCGGGAAAAUAGCACCUUUUCCUCAGUGGUUUCCCUGGAACAGUACAACGUUCCAGGGCUGACUCUAAUGAGAAUGCUUUGGGCCAUUGAGCCAAUCACCAUAGACAAACACCUAGAAUAUUCUGGUCAGGGAUUGGGGAAGGCCCCGUUUGUAUCACAUGACCAAAUAGUGGGUGAGGAGGAGUAAUUCUUGAAAAGAUAUCACGGAACUAUUACCUGAAAAGAGAAUGAAUGCUAGGCAGGCAAAAUCCACAGAUGUCUGCUAAAAUUUGGGAUGACAUUCCUUUAAUAUUUCUUUUAUAUGUGGAGGUGUGAUGUAUUAUAUGGACUUAGCAACAAAGAACUUUUUUUGCUUAAUAGAGUUGAUCCUAUAACUCUCUUCUCUCAGAGUAGUAACUUGUACAUAAAGGAUUAUGGUAAAGAGUAAAGAGUAAAAACACACGUUGGUUUUUAGUAUACCAUAAAAAUUCACACAGAAAGAGAAUAGUGAUUCUUAACUCAUAAUGGUUCACAGAUGUUUUUUUCACAGAAAUUUUUGAGAAUCCGAUGAAUUCAACAGACUUGCUCCAUAGAACAUUUUUUUUUUUGUUUUGUUUUUUGGUACAUACAAACUUCUUUUGA